rnacentral:rRNA from 1 species
AGGCGAACGCUGGCGGCGUGCUUAACACAUGCAAGUCGAACGAUGAACCACCUUCGGGUGGGGAUUAGUGGCGAACGGGUGAGUAACACGUGGGCAAUCUGCCCUUCACUCUGGGACAAGCCCUGGAAACGGGGUCUAAUACCGGAUACUGACCUGCCAAGGCAUCUUGGCGGGUCGAAAGCUCCGGCGGUGAAGGAUGAGCCCGCGGCCUAUCAGCUUGUUGGUGAGGUAAUGGCUCACCAAGGCGACGACGGGUAGCCGGCCUGAGAGGGCGACCGGCCACACUGGGACUGAGACACGGCCCAGACUCCUACGGGAGGCAGCAGUGGGGAAUAUUGCACAAUGGGCGAAAGCCUGAUGCAGCGACGCCGCGUGAGGGAUGACGGCCUUCGGGUUGUAAACCUCUUUCAGCAGGGAAGAAGCGAAAGUGACGGUACCUGCAGAAGAAGCGCCGGCUAACUACGUGCCAGCAGCCGCGGUAAUACGUAGGGCGCAAGCGUUGUCCGGAAUUAUUGGGCGUAAAGAGCUCGUAGGCGGCUUGUCACGUCGGUUGUGAAAGCCCGGGGCUUAACCCCGGGUCUGCAGUCGAUACGGGCAGGCUAGAGUUCGGUAGGGGAGAUCGGAAUUCCUGGUGUAGCGGUGAAAUGCGCAGAUAUCAGGAGGAACACCGGUGGCGAAGGCGGAUCUCUGGGCCGAUACUGACGCUGAGGAGCGAAAGCGUGGGGAGCGAACAGGAUUAGAUACCCUGGUAGUCCACGCCGUAAACGGUGGGCACUAGGUGUGGGCAACAUUCCACGUUGUCCGUGCCGCAGCUAACGCAUUAAGUGCCCCGCCCUGGAGACGCCGACGC